GUCACAUGGCAGUGGCAGGGCAGCUUUUCUGAGGCCUUGCGGGGUCUUAGAGAUUAAGUCCAAGACCUCACGAGAUCUCUGAACAUGACUUCUGGUUUCUACCAGAUGUCGUGUUCAGAGGCCUGGCAGGGCCUCCGACAUCGUCUGGGAGGCCGUGUCGGGGCUCCGAUGCAAGUACCGGUAACCGGAGGUCACGUCGGAGCUCAGUGUUGUUGUGGAGUGUUUUCUAAAAUUCUUAGGUGAACAAUUAAAGAAAGAAAUAAGCAGUCUUCUCUGAGGGUGAGUAGUUUUGCUGCAUCUCCCCAAUGCUACUGCUUGGUUUUGUGGUUGCCAUAUGUCCUCUUUUUCCAGGACAUGCCCUUGUUUUCAUGGGUAUGUAAAAUGAGAGUCGUCAUAGCGAUCCAUUGUUAAAGGUAAAGUCAGCAAAUGUGUCCUCUUUUUUGCUCUUCAAAAUAUGGCAACACUAAAUGUGGCAAUAAUGGGAGCCAGUGUGGUGUAGUGGUUAAGAGCUAUAGACUCGUAAUCUGGUGAACUAAGUUCGCGUCUCCGCUCCUCCACAUGCAGCUGCUGGGUGACCUUGGGCCAGUCACACGUCUCUGAAGUCUCUCAGCCUCACUCACCUCACAGAGUGUUUGUUGUGGGGGAGGAAGGGAAAGGAGAAUGUUAGCCGCUUUGAGACUCCUUCGGGUAAUGAUAAAGCAGGAUACCAGAUCCAAACUCUCCUCCUCCUCCUCCUCCUCUUCCUUCUUCUUCUUCUUAUACCCAGGUCACGAUCACACCAUACAUUUAAAGCACUAUUAACAGCCAUGGCUUUUCCCCAGAGAAUCGUAGCUUCUUAAGAGCUACAAUUUCCAGCACCCUUUAAAACUUAUUUUUUACAGGAUUCCACAUUCUAUUAAAGUGGUAUAAUAGUCCUUUAAAUGUGUGUGAAUGUGACCCCAGAUGCUGCUAGGGUGCAUUCCCCUAAUACUUUUUAAACUUGCAAGUAGGGCUUUUUUUCAGCCAGAACUCACUGGAACUCAGUUCCUGCAAUUCUCAGGUGGGUGUCAUUGCCAUUCUAAGAGAGGUGUUUAUGGUGAGUUCCAGCACCUCUUUUUCUAGAAAAAUAGUACUCCCUGCAAGGCUCCAGAGAGACAGAAGAAGAAGAAGAGGAGGAGGAGGAGGAGGAGGAGGAGUUUGGACUUGAUAUCCCGCCUUUCACUCCCCUUAAGGAGUUUCAAAGCGGCUAACAUUCUCCUUUUCCUUCCUCCCCCACAACAAACACUCUGUGAGGUGAGUGAGGCUGAGACACUUCAGAGAAGUGUGACUAGCCCAAGGUCACCCAGCAGCUGCAUGUGGAGGAGCGGGGACGCGAACCCCGUUCACCAGAUUAUGAGUCCACCGCUGUUAACCACUACACCAUGCUGGCUGAAGCAUUGCCCUCACUUUGAUUUGGUGUCUUGAUGAUGCCACAUGAAGACAUUUGGAAGUCAAAUGAGAGGGCAAUCCUUUAUUCACAUUGGAGACUUGUGGGUAAAAGAAGUUUGGGUGGGGUGUUCCCACCCAGUGGGGACAAGUUAAGUUCACCCCACACUGCUAAACCCGCCCCCAAACUUUGAGGCCUGUAACCAAGUUUCCUCAAAGUGGGUGGAAAUGUGGUGGAGGAGAUGACAGGGAAGUUAUUAAGUUAGGAAGAAGCAGUGCUGUUUCAGUGAGGAUCAAAGAUUCUGUGACUGGCAAGAUAUAUCAACUCAUUAGGCCUAUUGCUGUUCUAGGGCAACAGCACUGCAGUUGACACCCACACAUAACUGACAUACUCUGUCAUAUGCUUGAAAUGUUGAGUGUUACCAAACAUCAGGCAGAUGCACAAUCUUGCUGUUAGUACCAUGUAGAUGCUAUUAGUUAUAGCUGCUGACAGCUGACAGCUAUCAGACUGAUUUACAUUUCAAAUCUUAUGGCAGUAAAUCUGAUAACCAAGGUUAGCAUCUGCAUGGUUGUUAAUCAUUUUUUUCCUUUCUCACAGAUAUUUCGCUUGCUCUGUUGUUUUUUUAAAAAGCCUGUAUGCUGAGCAUCAAAUUCCUACAAUUUGAUGUAUGGGGCAAAUCUUUCCUAAUUAGCUAAACUUCAUAUUUUCAGAGGAGAGAGAGAAAACUUUAAAAAAGAAAAAGAAAAUCUAAGGGUUUGUUCUCUGACAUUAGCCAUGAUUUUAUGGCAUCAAAUCACAUUGCUCAUGUUACUUUAGGCACACAGACAGAGAACAGAAAUCUCUGCAGAGUGGCCAGCUGUUUAUAGAUGUAUUUUAACAUUUAUUGGCCACCUUACCAAAAGAAAAUAAGUAAUAAUUUCUGUCCAAGUAAUAAAAAUUAGCACAAAAGCAGCAAUAAAACUUAAUGAACAGAGCUGUCAUGACAUAUAGGAAAGCAGAAAGUUUUUAUUUCACAGUCCGAAAGCUGACUGGGGUGGGAGGAUGUUUCACUUGCCUCCUGAAAGUGUGCAGAGAAGGAUUCGCAAGAAAGACCUUAGCCUGAAACUCUUCUAAUUUAGUAUCAAGGGUCUGAGGAAUUUUAACCAGUACAAGGGCUGUCAUCCGUCUGGAUUUUCCCAGACAUUACUGGGAUUUCAAAGACGGAAUUGAUGUUGGGGGGGGGUGUUCCAAAAGGUAGUCCUUUGUCCUAGAUCUGGCAAGUCCAUCAUUGUUGUUUUCGGGCAUUUUUGUAAAUAACUUUCGGGUUUUCGGGAUGUCCUGGUUUUUACUUUUUGAAAUAGGGCAACCCUAUCAGUACAUUUAUUAAUUUAUCAACUAAGCUUACAUUUGUUUGCAUAUUACCAACUUCAAAAAAGUGCUUUAUUUGUGUACUGAGGGAAGUGAAAGUUUAUUUACAUAUGAAUAAACAAAGGGUAACACACUUUGAUAGGCUGAAAGGCCAUAUUUUAUAUUUUCUUUGUCAUUCAUGAUUACAGUAAUACAUCAGAACCAGGAUUGCUUGACAAAAUAAAGAAGUCUGUUUUUAAGUUAUAGCACCAUCAAGUACAAUUUCUCUCAGCAACUAAUCCAUUAAAGGCUAGUUGACUGACUACCAACUGAACCCGAAACAUCAAUGUGGCACAAAGGGAGGCUUCCUUUGCAGGACACACACAAAAGUUGCAUAUUAAUUAUGUUAAACACCACACAAUGGUAGGGAGCAGAGAUGUACAGUAUUAAAAUCUCAACCAAAACUUAAUUGAACUCAAAUUCAGAGGUGAGACAUCUGUGGAAUACAGAAGGAAGUCAAAAGACAGAACUUGUGAUGCUUCUAGGAUGAGCAGAGCAUUCUGCAAGUUAAAUUGGAGACUUCAGGAAGGAAACUUUUUUUUUUUACAUGCAUUUUAGUGGCUAUACUUGGAGCAACCAUUCCCGUCCCCCCUUAUCUACAAAUGGAUAAAAAUCAAAAUAGGGGCAAAAAAUAUGUCCUUUGUAGAACUUGUCAGGUGGCACUCCUGCAUUUAAAACUAAUAUCAGAAGCAAUUCUAACUUAAGUAUUAGUUUAAGUCACAAAAGUGCCUCCUGAAAUCAUAUGGGAAUGAUUUAGAUAUAUGCAUCUACCGAGAUGGUUGGACAGUGUUCUCGAAGCUACAAACAUGAGUUUGACCAAACUGCAGGAGGCAGUGGAAGACAGGAGUGCCUGGCAUGCUCUGGUCCAUGGGGUCACGAAGAGUUGGACAUGACUAAAGGACUAAACAACAACAACAUCUACCGACAAGAAAUACAUGGGCAUAACAAGUUUUAUGUCUUGUAACGGGCAAAAAUAAUCCUGCCACCUAUAAGUUCCCUACCUAGUAACACAGAUGUUCUGAGCACAGGGAUCAGUCAACCAGAGAAUUUGGGAAGAGGUUUUGAGAACACAAAAAUUGGAGAUUUUGCUCUUUAAAAUAUUGGAUCAGGCCAAAGGCCCAAUUUCCUCUGACUGGAAAUAGAACAUAACCAGCAUGUAUUAAUAGACUUAUCUUCCAUAAAUAUGUUUAUACUUCUUUUAAAGCCAUCCAAUUAACAGUUUUUCUUAAAACUGCUAAGAACAACUGAAUAUGAAUAGCUAAUUGCUAUCAAAACAAAAAUUUACUUAUUUUUAAGGCAGAUUGGCCCCAAAACAGUGAAGAUGGAGAGCUCCCACCUGUUGCAGGAAAUAUAUUGUCUUGUCCCCUUAUCAUUUCCUACCUAACAGGAGCGGCACUGAUAAUGAUCUGCCGAGUGGUGUGGUUCAGGUCAGGAAGGAACAGAUCUCAGGUGUUCAAUGGAUGUCAUCCUUCCCGACCCCCUUUGUCAGCUGUAGAAGUGACCUGCAAGCCGGAGCCCAUUUCUGCUGGUUGUGAAUUUGCAUGGAAUUACCAAUCACAUUUUAGCUUUCUUAUACACUCCAAAAUUAAAUAAUGUUGUAAUCUGCACUGCAUCCUUUGGCUACGGCAGGCUAUAAAUCUCAAUUAAUAAUG